rnacentral:rRNA from 1 species
AGAGUUUGAUCCUGGCUCAGGAUGAACGCUAGCGGCAGGCCUAAUACAUGCAAGUCGAACGGUAAGUGUAGUAGCAAUAUUAUACGAGAGUGACGUACGGGUGCGUAACACGUAUGCAACCUACCCUUUACAGGAGGAUAGCUCGGGGAAACUCGAAUUAACCCUCCAUGAUAUAAUGAUGUGGCAUCACGUUAUUAUUAAAACUCUGGUGGUAAAGGAUGGGCAUGCGUCUGAUUAGUUAGUUGGUGCGGGUAACGGCCCACCAAGACGAUGAUCAGUAGGGGAACUGAGAGGUUGAUCCCCCACACUGGCACUGAGAUACGGGCCAGACUCCUACGGGAGGCAGCAGUAGGGAAUAUUGGUCAAUGGAUGGAAGUCUGAACCAGCCAUGCCGCGUGCAGGAAGAAGGCCUUCUGGGUUGUAAACUGCUUUUGCCAGGGGAUAAAAAGACCGUGCGCGGUUAAUUGAAGGUACCUGGUGAAUAAGCCACGGCUAACUACGUGCCAGCAGCCGCGGUAAUACGUAGGUGGCAAGCGUUGUCCGGAUUUAUUGGGUUUAAAGGGUGCGUAGGCGGCCCUGUAAGUCAGUGGUGAAAUAUCUCAGCUUAACUGAGAGGGUGCCAUUGAUACUGCGGGGCUUGAGUACAGAUGAGGUAGGCGGAAUUGACGGUGUAGCGGUGAAAUGCAUAGAUAUCGUCAAGAACACCGAUAGCGAAGGCAGCUUACUAAGCUGUAACUGACGCUGAGGCACGAAAGUGUGGGGAUCAAACAGGAUUAGAUACCCUGGUAGUCC